GUCCAGGAAAGCAUGCUGCCGGGACUUAGACCAAUUUUGCUCUGCAAAUUUACCUUGCUCUAAGUGCCAUUUUCUCAAUUUGUUACUCCUAAGUGCAAUGUUCCAAGUGCAAGUGCAUCUCGUACCAUCAUGUUUGAUCCUGAUAAAAUAAUACAGUGUCAACUGUGUCACAACUGUGUCUCGUCAGUUGUCUCGUCAGUUUGUGGAAAAGAGAAAUGCAUCGAAGACCACGCGUGAAAUAAUCUACGCACAAACAUAAACCCGGCUGGACCCACCGACAAUGUGUGUACGCGGAACAAUGUGUUCGACGGAUGCCACUACCGCCACCA